UAGUGAAUCUUCCACAAUGGGCGAAAGCCUGAUGGAGCAACGCCGCGUGUGUGAUGAAGGCUUUCGGGUCGUAAAGCACUGUUGUAUGGGAAGAACAGCUAGAAUAGGAAAUGAUUUUAGUUUGACGGUACCAUACCAGAAAGGGACGGCUAAAUACGUGCCGG
rnacentral:rRNA from 1 species